rnacentral:misc_RNA from 1 species
CCGAGUUUUCAACUCCCAAACCCCAUGUGAACUUAUACCAUUUACAACCGUUGCUUCGGCGGGUUCUCGCCCCGGGCUUUACACCCCGGAACCAGGCGGCCCGCCGGGGGACCCAAACUCUUGUUUUAUACAGUAUCUUCUGAGUAACACGAUUAAAUAAAUCA